UGCCUAAUACAUGCAAGUCGAACGCACUCUCGUUUAGAUUGAAGGAGCUUGCUCCUGAUUGAUAAACAUUUGAGUGAGUGGCGGACGGGUGAGUAACACGUGGGUAACCUGCCCUAAAGUGGGGGAUAACAUUUGGAAACAGAUGCUAAUACCGCAUAAAACCUAACACCGCAUGGUGUAGGGUUGAAAGAUGGUUUCGGCUAUCACUUUAGGAUGGACCCGCGGUGCAUUAGUUAGUUGGUGAGGUAAAGGCUCACCAAGACCGUGAUGCAUAGCCGACCUGAGAGGGUAAUCGGCCACACUGGGACUGAGACACGGCCCAGACUCCUACGGGAGGCAGCAGUAGGGAAUCUUCCACAAUGGACGAAAGUCUGAUGGAGCAACGCCGCGUGAGUGAAGAAGGUUUUCGGAUCGUAAAACUCUGUUGUUGGAGAAGAAUGUAUCUGAUAGUAACUGAUCAGGUAGUGACGGUAUCCAACCAGAAAGCCACGGCUAACUACGUG
rnacentral:rRNA from 1 species